CCCUUGGUAGCUCAGCUGGAAGAGCGCAAGACUGUAAUCAUCUUGAGGCCAUCGGUUCGAUUCCGAUUCAAGGGA
rnacentral:tRNA from 1 species